rnacentral:rRNA from 1 species
AUACGGAGGAUGCGAGCGUUAUCCGGAUUUAUUGGGUUUAAAGGGUGCGUAGGCUGUGCGUUAAGUCAGGGGUGAUAUGCCGUCGCUCAACGACGGAGCUGCCCUUGAUACUGGCGUGCUGGAGUACGGAUGCCGUUGGAGGAAUGAGUGGUGUAGCGGUGAAAUGCUUAGAUAUCACUCAGAACACCGAUUGCGAAGGCAUCUGACGAAUCCGUCACUGACGCUGAGGCACGAAAGCGUGGGGAUAGAACAGGAUUAGAUACCCUGGUAUUCCACGCCGUAAACGAUGAUGACUAACCGUCGGCGAUAGACAGCCGGUGGCCAAGCGAAAGCGAUAAGUCAUCCACCUGGGGAGUACGGCGGCAACGAUGAAACUCAAAGGAAUUGACGGGG